GUGCCAGCAGCUGCGGUAAUACGUAGGUGGCAAGCGUUAUCCGGAAUUAUUGGGCGUAAAGCGCGCGCAGGUGGUUUCUUAAGUCUGAUGUGAAAGCCCACGGCUCAACCGUGGAGGGUCAUUGGAAACUGGGAGACUUGAGUGCAGAAGAGGAAAGUGGAAUUCCAUGUGUAGCGGUGAAAUGCGUAGAGAUAUGGAGGAACACCAGUGGCGAAGGCGACUUUCUGGUCUGUAACUGACACUGAGCGCGAAAGCGUGGGG
rnacentral:rRNA from 1 species